rnacentral:rRNA from 1 species
CCUACGGGAGGCAGCAGUGAGGAAUAUUGGUCAAUGGACGAGAGUCUGAACCAGCCAAGUAGCGUGAAGGAUGACUGCCCUAUGGGUUGUAAACUUCUUUUAUAUGGGAAUAAAAUGUUCCACGUGUGGGAUUUUGUAUGUACCAUAUGAAUAAGGAUCGGCUAACUCCGUGCCAGCAGCCGCGGUAAUACGGAGGAUCCGAGCGUUAUCCGGAUUUAUUGGGUUUAAAGGGUGCGUAGGUGGAUUGUUAAGUCAGUUGUGAAAGUUUGCGGCUCAACCGGAAAAUUGCAGUUGAAACUGGCAGUCUUGAGUGCAGUAGAGGUGGGCGGAAUUCGUGGUGUAGCGGUGAAAUGCUUAGAUAUCACGCAGAACUCCGAUUGCGAAGGCAGUUCACUGGACUGCAACUGACACUGAGGCUCGAAAGUGUGGGUAUCAAACAGGAUUAGAUACCCCUGUAGUC